AGUGAACGCUGGCGGUAGGCCUAACACAUGCAAGUCGAACGGCAGCACAGUAAGAGCUUGCUCUUACGGGUGGCGAGUGGUGGACGGGUGAGGAAUACAUCGGAAUCUACUUUUUCGUGGGGGAUAACGUAGGGAAACUUACGCUAAUACCGCAUACGACCUACGGGUGAAAGCAGGGGAUCUUCGGACCUUGCGCGAGUGAAUGAGCCGAUGUCGGAUUAGCUAGUUGGCGGGGUAAAGGCCCACCAAGGCGACGAUCCGUAGCUGGUCUGAGAGGAUGAUCAGCCACACUGGAACUGAGACACGGUCCAGACUCCUACGGGAGGCAGCAGUGGGGAAUAUUGGACAAUGGGCGCAAGCCUGAUCCAGCCAUACCGCGUGGGUGAAGAAGGCCUUCGGGUUGUAAAGCCCUUUUGUUGGGAAAGAAAAGCAGCAGGUUAAUACCCCGCUGUUCUGACGGUACCCAAAGAAUAAGCACCGGCUAACUUCGUG
rnacentral:rRNA from 1 species